rnacentral:rRNA from 1 species
GAUGAACGCUGGCGGCGUGCCUAAUACAUGCAAGUCGAGCGAAUGGAUUAAGAGCUUGCUCUUAUGAAGUUAGCGGCGGACGGGUGAGUAACACGUGGGUAACCUGCCCAUAAGACUGGGAUAACUCCGGGAAACCGGGGCUAAUACCGGAUAACAUUUUGAACCGCAUGGUUCGAAAUUGAAAGGCGGCUUCGGCUGUCACUUAUGGAUUGACCCGCGUCGCAUUAGCUAGUUGGUGAGGUAACGGCUCACCAAGGCAACGAUGGGUAGCCGACCUGAGAGGGUGAUCGGCCACACUGGGACUGAGACACGGCCCAGACUCCUACGGGAGGCAGCAGUAGGGAAUCUUCCGCAAUGGACGAAAGUCUGACGGAGCGACGCCGCGUGAGUGAUGAAGGCUUUCGGGUCGUAAAACUCUGUUGUUAGGGAAGAACAAGUGCUAGUUGAAUAAGCUGGCACCUUGACGGUGCCUAACCAGAAAGCCACGGCUAACUACGUGCCAGCCGCCGCGGUAA